CCUACGGGUGGCAGCAGUGAGGAAUAUUGGUCAAUGGACGAGAGUCUGAACCAGCCAAGUAGCGUGAAGGAUGACUGCCCUAUGGGUUGUAAACUUCUUUUGUCGGGGAACAAAGGCGGAGACGCGUCUCCGGAUGAGUGUACCCGAAGAAAAAGCAUCGGCUAACUCCGUGCCAGCAGCCGCGGUAAUACGGAGGAUGCGAGCGUUAUCCGGAUUUAUUGGGUGUAAAGGGUGCGCAGGCGGGCGAUCAAGUCAGCGGUAAAAUGUCGGGGCUCAACCCCGGCCGACCGUUGAAACUGGUUUUCUAGAGUUGGAGAGAAGUAGGCGGAAUUCGUGGUGUAGCGGUGAAAUGCAUAGAUAUCACGAAGAACUCCGAUUGCGAAGGCAGCAUACCGGCUCCAUACUGACGCUGAGGCACGAAAGCGUGGGGAUCGAACAGGAUUAGAUACCCUAGUAGUC
rnacentral:rRNA from 1 species